rnacentral:rRNA from 1 species
GAUGAACGCUGGCGGCGUGCCUAAUACAUGCAAGUCGAGCGAACAGACGAGGAGCUUGCUCCUCUGACGUUAGCGGCGGACGGGUGAGAAACACGUGGAUAACCUACCUAUAAGACUGGGAUAACUUCGGGAAACCGGAGCUAAUACCGGAUAAUAUAUUGAACCGCAUGGUUCAAUAGUGAAAGACGGUUUUGCUGUCACUUAUAGAUGGAUCCGCGCCGCAUUAGCUAGUUGGUAAGGUAACGGCUUACCAAGGCAACGAUGCGUAGCCGACCUGAGAGGGUGAUCGGCCACACUGGAACUGAGACACGGUCCAGACGCCUACGGGAGGCAGCAGUAGGGAAUCUUCCGCAAUGGGCGAAAGCCUGACGGAGCAACGCCGCGUGAGUGAUGAAGGUCUUCGGAUCGUAAAACUCUGUUAUUAGGGAAGAACAAAUGUGUAAGUAACGAUGCACGUCUUGACGGUACCUAAUCAGAAAGCCGCGGCUAACUACGU